rnacentral:rRNA from 1 species
UAAGCAUAUCAAUAAGCGGAGGAAAAGAAACCAACAGGGAUUGCCCCAGUAACGGCGAGUGAAGCGGCAACAGCUCAAAUUUGAAAUCUGGCUUCGGCCCGAGUUGUAAUUUGCAGAGGAAGCUUUAGGCGCGGCACCAUCUGAGUCCCCUGGAACGGGGCGCCAUAGAGGGUGAGAGCCCCGUAUAGAUGGACGCUAAGCCUGUGUAAAGCUCCUUCGACGAGUCGAGUAGUUUGGGAAUGCUGCUCAAAAUGGGAGGUAAAUUUCUUCUAAAGCUAAAUAUUGGCCAGAGACCGAUAGCGCACAAGUAGAGUGAUCGAAAGAUGAAAAGCACUUUGAAAAGAGGGUUAAAUAGCACGUGAAAUUGUUGAAAGGGAAGCGCUUGUGACCAGACUUGCGCCUGGCUGAUCAUCCGGUGUUCUCACCGGUGCACUCUGCCAGGCUCAGGCCAGCAUCGGUUCUCGCGGGGGGAUAAAGGCCCUGGGAACGUAGCUCCUCCGGGAGUGUUAUAGCCCAGGGUGCAAUGCCCUCGCGGGGACCGAGGUUCGCGCAUCUGCAAGGAUGCUGGCGUAAUGGUCAUCAGCGACCCGUCUUGAAACACGGACCAAGGAGUCAAGGUUUUGCGCGAGUGUUUGGGUGUCAAACCCGCACGCGUAAUGAAAGUGAACGUAGGUGAGAGCUUCGGCGCAUCAUCGACCGAUCCUGAUGUUUUCGGAUGGAUUUGAGUAGGAGCGUUAAGCCUUGGACCCGAAAGAUGGUGAACUAUGCUUGGAUAGGGUGAAGCCAGAGGAAACUCUGGUGGAGGCUCGCAGCGGUUCUGACGUGCAAAUCGAUCGUCAAAUCUGAGCAUGGGGGCGAAAGACUAAUCGAACCAUCUAGUAGCUGGUUACCGCCGAA